AAUAUCGUGUUGCACACUAUUAAUUGCUCAUUAAAAAGUAAUAUUUUUUUUAUUUUUGCGAACAAAAAAUAAUAAUUUUAUUCAUCAUUUUUGUAAAACUUACUUAAAUUUGCGCUUGCUCUGCUGGAACGCGUUUGCGCAAUGUGCAACAUAUACAUAUUUUCUGUUGUUGUUGGUGGUUCAAAAAGUAUUUUCUGUAAGUUCAUGGUGUUUGUUCUAUUGUGAAUUGUGAUUAUCGGUACUGCGAUAAAUUCAGAAUAGUGUAGUAAAUACCGUUUUGUCAAGAAAACAGUACUAAUUCUACAUAACCUCACUUCUACAAGCAAUGCAGAAAAUGCAAUUUCUCAACACAAACAAAAUGAUGAAUGUCCGGGCGCAACCAAAAAAAAGAAGAAAUCCAGUUAGAAAUUGCGGGAGAUACGCAGAAAUUGAAUGAAUUGGAAGAGAAGAUGUAAAAAAACAUUUUUCAGGGCAAGGAAAAAAUAAGCUCUCUUUUAGUGAACUCACAAUUAACAAGGCUACAAUAUGUAAAGUACCACACGGAAACGUCACAAAAACGCCACAACUGCUGAAAUUUAAAAAAUGGUAGGACCUCAUUAAGCGCAGACAAAAGCAAGAGUGAAUUCUCAUCGAAAAAAACAUGAG